rfam:Schistosoma curassoni strain Dakar, Senegal genome assembly, scaffold: SCTD_scaffold0001699
ACCCAGCUGACGAGUCCCAAAUAGGACGAAACGCGUGUCGAGGGAU